UACAGAGGGGGCAAGCGUUAUUCGGAAUUAUUGGGCGUAAAGAGCUCGUAGGCGGCUUGUCGCGUCGACUGUGAAAUCCCGCGGCUCAACUGCGGGUCUGCAGUCGAUACGGGCAGGCUAGAGUUCGGUAGGGGAGACUGGAAUUCCUGGUGUAGCGGUGAAAUGCGCAGAUAUCAGGAGGAACACCGGUGGCGAAGGCAGGUCUCUGGGCCACUACUGACGCUGAGAAGCGAAAGCAUGGGGGAGCGAACAGG
rnacentral:rRNA from 1 species